UGUUCUUCGGAAUGAGAGACCGGCGCACGGGUGCGUAACGCGUAUGCAAUCUACCUUUCACAGAGGGAUAGCCCAGAGAAAUUUGGAUUAAUACCUCAUAGCAUUAUGAAAUGGCAUCAUUUUAUAAUUAAAGUCACAACGGUGAAAGAUGAGCAUGCGUCCCAUUAGCUAGUUGGUAAGGUAACGGCUUACCAAGGCUACGAUGGGUAGGGGUCCUGAGAGGGAGAUCCCCCACACUGGUACUGAGACACGGACCAGACUCCUACGGGAGGCAGCAGUGAGGAAUAUUGGUCAAUGGGCGCAAGCCUGAACCAGCCAUGCCGCGUGCAGGAUGACGGUCCUAUGGAUUGUAAACUGCUUUUGUACGGGAAGAAACACUCCGACGUGUCGGAGCUUGACGGUACCGUAAGAAUAAGGAUCGGCUAACUCCGUGCCAGCAGCCGCGGUAAUACGGAGGAUCCAAGCGUUAUCCGGAAUCAUUGGGUUUAAAGGGUCCGUAGGCGGUUUGGUAAGUCAGUGGUGAAAGCCCAUCGCUCAACGGUGGAACGGCCAUUGAUACUGCUAGACUUGAAUUAUUGGGAAGUAACUAGAAUAUGUAGUGUAGCGGUGAAAUGCUUAGAGAUUACAUGGAAUACCAAUUGCGAAGGCAGGUUACUACCAAUGGAUUGACGCUGAUGGACGAAAGCGUGGGUAGCGAACAGGAUUAGAUACCCUGGUAGUCCACGCCGUAAACGAUGGAUACUAGCUGUUGGGAGCAAUCUCAGUGGCUAAGCG
rnacentral:rRNA from 1 species